CAUUCGCACGCAUCCACAAUCCACCAUUGAACCCAGCUUGUGAAACCUCGAGCGGAGGUGCGCUUCGCACGCGCGCCUGCGCUUCGAGGCUUCGAGGGUGGCAGGGCGUUUGGCGGCGCCAAGGCGUCGGCGGCGACUCUGGCGCCAUUCCCCACACUUCUUUUGCUGCAGAGGCAAGGGAGUCCUAGGCCAGUGUGGGCCAUUUUCGUUUACAACUUUCAGCGAUGGAUGUCUCGGCUCGGACGACGAUGAAGGGCGCAGCGAACUGCGAUACGCAUCGCGAACUGCAGAAUUCCGUGAAACGACAGGACCUUGAACGCGCACUGCGCUCCUGGGAUAUUCCCGAGAGCAUGCCUGCUUCGGCGUCCAAACAACGCAUGCGGGUGCUGCAGCCAUUCGUGCCCAGCCACCCAAGCGGUUGCGCGUGCCAAGGUGCCUUGGGCCCCUGGCGCGCGUUCAACGGCCCAACCCCUGCAUGCAGCAUGCAACGCGCCACAGGCGUACCUGUCUGCUGCCAUGCCAGCUAGGGUGGGCGAGGCCAUUAAUACCU
rnacentral:misc_RNA from 1 species